rnacentral:lncRNA from 1 species
UGAAGUUUAUACUAUUUUGUGAAAAUUGGAAAUUUUAUAUGAAAUAAUUUGAUUAUUGAAUUUUGGUGGUAUACAUGUGUUCUUGGGAGAUUUCUAAGCAUGCUUAUAUGUUGAAUUGAUGAGGAAAACAUUUUCUUCUUCAUCCUCCAAGAGUGGCAGAACCUAUUGAUGAAUAAGGCCUUAAGUUUUCUUGUUAUUCUUUGAGGAUUUGUGAUCUUAAGAUGAUAUUUGAUGAGUAGUGAGUAUGUGGUAGAAAUCUCUACCUUGUAUAUGAUUUAAGUAAGCUGAAAUUAGGACAAAAUGUUAAUGGGUGUGUUUAAGGACUGUUUUUCUAUUCGUUUUAUUUUCCCUCUGUAUUUGAGUCCUUCAUAAAAGUUGUGGUUAUACUUCUUAGCUUUCCAACCCAUCCUCUUGUGUCCAAUUUUGAUAUAUAUAGCUCAGCUUAUGACUAAAACACCUAAACUGACUCUGUUGUAACGUACCACAUGCAGCAAUAGAUUGAGUGACUAUUUUGACCACCAUAAUGGCAAGAUUAGGUGUUGAGCUCUUCAUGAGAUUUGUUUCCCUGUGUCUUGAAAUUUACCUGGU